rnacentral:rRNA from 1 species
UUACUGUAAGAAUAAGCACCGGCUAAUUCCGUGCCAGCAGCCGCGGUAAUACGGAAGGUGCAAGCGUUAUCCGGUUUUAUUGGGUUUAAAGGGUGCGUAGGCGGCUCAUUAAGUCAGUUGUGAAAUCCUAGUGCUUAACGCUAGAACUGCAAUUGAUACUCUUAGGCUUGAGUUAAGAAUAGGUAACGUAGAAUUUAUGGUGUAGUAGUGAAAUGCUUAGAUAUCAUAAGGAAUACCAAUAGCGUAGGCAGCCUUACUGGUCUUUAACUGACGCUGAGGCACAAAAGCGUGGGGAGCAAACAGGAUUAGAUACCCUGGUA